rnacentral:tRNA from 1 species
CCCUCCAUAGCUUAGUGGUUUUAAAGCGCCUGGCUGUAGCCCGGGAGACCCCCAGUUCGAAUCUGGGUGGAGGGA